rnacentral:lncRNA from 1 species
GACAGUAUGACAUGCUGCAGGAAGGAGCUGAGGACCAGUCGAUAUGAGGAAUACAUGGAGAGCUGACUGUUCAACAUUUACCAGCAUACCAUCGUCCCUGCCUCAUUUGAGCUGUCUGCAAUUGUAGGGUCUAGAGCACGUCCUCGGGCUCCCAAAAGCUGCGAGCUGGCCCUCCAGAUGAUCUUCUUGCCUCCCAUCCACAACAAAUGCUCACUUCAGGCAGGGAUUGUCCAAAUCUCCUCAAGGCCCUAUUAGAAAGCUGCAGCUCCUUGAUCUAUUCAGCACCGAGAGGCUGUUGUCGAGGAAGUUGAUUGUAGUCCAAAUCCAGGGAGUCAUUGAAACCCCAGUGAGUGAGCCCUCAUCCCUGGGCCUGUCAUGGUACCUAGAAUCCCAGCCCUUCAGAUCAUCCUUUAUAUUAAGAUGUUAUGUCCCAAAGGAUUGUAUUACCAUGUACAUCCCUGUCUCAACACAAGGGGCACCAUCUGAGCAUAAAUAGGCAAAGAGAGCCCUCCCUUUGCCAGCUCCCCCCAGCUGAAGUCUACACAGCCUUUACCCAGACAUCAGGAACAGCUGUGUCAGGCAGAAGGCAGCUGACUCCAGAUGAAGGGCACGGGUACUCAGAUUGCUCUCCCCACAAUCUGCAGUCUCUCAGCCAAUUUCUGAGACGAUCACUCAGACUGAGCACCCUCAGACACCAGGCUCGUGGACAGAAUCUCUCAACCCUUCAAAACAAGACUGGGAAUGCAAGAACAAGCACAUCUACCCUUGAACUGGCUCACUUCAUUAUUGCCUGCCUCCUUGCCUCUGCAUAUCUGCAGCCCAGCAGUAUGAGUGACUCCAACAUCAGUACUCCUGGAAUUAUUGAGCCCCAGACAGAUGGCAGUCAGCAGUAAUGACAGGGUGAAUUCAAGUGGCUCUUGAGGCCUUCACAGGCAGCAGACAGACAAUUUAUAUGGAAGCAUUUUGUAAAAUACUUAUUGCCACUAAAGCUAUUAUUCAAUUAUUAAUAUUGUUGUUAGCAAUACAACACUAUUGCCACUCUCAGAGAAUUGACAGUGGGAAUGUUCUUCAAAGAUUACAGCCCUUCUGGAGACCAGCUUUCUUGCAGAGGUAUCUAUUUUUAAUUCUACUAACGUUUCUCUUCUAAGAGGACACAGAGGUCCCUCCCCCAAAGCUAGAUUACCUUCCUAGAGUUCAGAGACUCCUUGCUUGUUGGACUUUUCAUUGUAAGAAUAUAAUACAAAUGAAUUUAUGUCUGAGAAUAAAACAUAAAUUGCGAUAUAAAUGUAUAAAUUG